rnacentral:rRNA from 1 species
UCUUGCACAAUGGCNGGNAAACCCUGNUGCAGCGACGCCGCGUGAACGAAGAAGCCUUUCGGGGUGUAAAGUUCUUUCGGCAGGGACGAUGAUGACUGUACCUGCAGAAGCAGCUGCGGCUAACUACGUGCCAGCAGCCGCGGUAAUACGUAGGCAGCAAGCGUUGUUCGGAAUUACNUGGGCGUAAAGAGUGCGUAGGUGGUUGGCCAAGUUUGGUGUGAAAUCUCCCGGCUCAACUGGGAGGGUGCGCCGAAAACUGGCUGGCUAGAGUGUGGGAGAGGGAAGCGGAAUUCCUGGUGUAGCGGUGAAAUGCGUAGAUAUCAGGAGGAACGCCUGCGGUGUAGACGGCUUCCUGGACCAUGACUGACACUGAGGCACGAAAGCGUGGGUAGCAAACAGGAUUAGAUACCCUGGUAGUCCACGCCCUAAACGAUGCGGACUUGGUGUGCGCCCUUCAUUGGGUGCGUGCCGAAGCUAACGCGAUAAGUCCGCCGCCUGGGGAGUACGGUCGCAAGGCUGAAACUCAAAGAAAUUGACGGA